rnacentral:rRNA from 1 species
GUAGGUGGCAAGCGUUGUCCGGAAUUAUUGGGCGUAAAGCGCGCGCAGGCGGUUCUUUAAGUCUGAUGUGAAAGCCCACGGCUCAACCGUGGAGGGUCAUUGGAAACUGGAGAACUUGAGUACAGAAGAGGAAAGCGGAAUUCCACGUGUAGCGGUGAAAUGCGUAGAGAUGUGGAGGAACACCAGUGGCGAAGGCGGCUUUCGUGGUCUGUAACUGACGCUGAGGCGACGAAAGCGGUGGGGAGCAAACGAGGGAUUAGACUACCCGUGGUAGUCCACGACCGUAAACGAUGAGUGCUAAGUGGUUAGGGGGUUUCCCGUCCCCCGUUAGUGCUGCAGCUAACGCAUUAAGCACUCCGCCGUGGGGAGUACGGCCGCAAGGCUG